GACGAACGCUGGCGGCGUGCUUAACACAUGCAAGUCGAACGGAAAGGCCUGCUUUCCCUUGUGGAUUGCGGGUGCUCGAGUGGCGAACGGGUGAGUAACACGUGAGUGAUCUGCCCCCAACUUGGGUAUAAGCCUGGGAAACUGGGUCUAAUUCCCGAUAGGACUGCAGGGUGGUGCCUGUGGUGGAAAACGAUUUUCUAGUGGUUGGGGAUGAGCUCGCGGCCUAUCAGCUUGUUGGUGGGGUAAUGGCCUACCAAGGCGGCGACGGGUAGCCGGCCUGAGAGGGGGGACGGCGACAUUGGGACUGGGAUACGGCCCAGACUCCUACGGGAGGCAGCAGUGGGGAAUAUUGGACAAUGGGCGGAAGCCUGAAGCAGCGACGCAGCGUGGGGGAUGACGGCCUUCGGGUUGUAAACUCCUUUCGACCGCGAGGAAGCCACCUGGUUGGAAGGGUGGUGACGGUAGUGGUAGAAGAAGCACCGGCUAACUACGUG
rnacentral:rRNA from 1 species